rnacentral:rRNA from 1 species
UACGUAGGGUGCAAGCGUUGUCCGGAAUUAUUGGGCGUAAAGAGCUCGUAGGCGGUCUGUCGCGUCUGCUGUGAAAACUCGGGGCUUAACCCCGGGCCUGCAGUGGGUACGGGCAGACUAGAGUGCGGUAGGGGAGACUGGAAUUCCUGGUGUAGCGGUGAAAUGCGCAGAUAUCAGGAGGAACACCGGUGGCGAAGGCGGGUCUCUGGGCCGUAACUGACGCUGAGGUGCGAAAGCGUGGGGAGCAAACAGG